CCCCCUACUCAUGGGUUCAAGCGAUUCUCAUGCCUCAGCCUCCCGAGUAGCUGGGAUGACAGGCGCCUGCCACCUUGCCUGGCUAAUUUUUGCAUUUUUAGUAGAGAUGUGGGUUUCACCAUGUUGGCCAGACUGGUCUCAAAAUCCUGACCUCAGAUGAUCCACCCACCUUGGCCUCCCAAAGUGCUGGGAUUACAGGAGUGAGCCACCGCACCCAGCCAAGAUGAGCAAUUUGAAACAAGGCUGUUCUUUAAGCAGGGAGUCUAGUCGAGCUUAACUGGGGUCCACAUGAAGGAAAAGACCCAGCUGGUGAGGACUGGGGGUUACCAUCCAAGCAUGCACAAAUUGUCAGGUUGACAAAGAAGAGUCAUUCAAAACUUCAUGAGUAGGGAAAUCGUACAGAAAAGUGCAGUGAAAACGUACUAGUCCAGGCUAUUUCAAUAAUCCAAGCAGAAAGAAAUGAAGAGACACCAGUGAGACUGGUAAAUGCAGGAAGAGAAAGGCAAAUGCUGUUGCCACUUUCAGGACUACACAAAUCAGGAGAUGGGUUGAAUUGGAGAUGCCAGUGAGUCGUAAGUGGGAGCAAGUCUAGAAGACAUGUGAGACACAAACCUAGGAGUGAGAUGAAAAGAAGGGGGAGGUAGACAAGGUUAGGGAUAGCAAUUUGGGAGUUAUUGAUCAUUACAUGGGAGUUUUUACUGCUUGGUGCCAGGUAUUUUUCUCAGCUCGAGACUGAUACUUAGCUUUGCUUUCCUCUAUGAGCAGUCUCCCGAGGACUCAGCCUCUUUUUCUCCUGUUCUUUCACAUACAGUGCUUUUCCUUCCCCUCUCUUACCUGCUGAUAUGAUUUGGCUGUGUCCCCACCCAAAUCUCAUAUUUAAUUAUACUCCCAUAAUUCCCACAUGUUGUGGGAGGGACUCGGUGAGAGAUAAUUUGAAUCAUGGAGGUGGUUUCCCCCAUACUGUUCUUGUGGUAGUGAAUAAGUCUCACAAGAUCGGACGGUUUUACCAGGGAUUUCCGUUUUUACUUUUUCCUCAUUUUCUCUUGCUGCCACCAUGUAAGAAGUGUCUUCACUUCCCACCAUGAUUCUGAGGCCUCCCCACCUGUAUGGAACUGUAAGUCCAAUUAAACCUCUUUUUCUUCCAGGUCUCGGGUCUGUCUUUAUCAGCAACAUGAAAAUGGAUUAAUACACCUGCCUUCCCUACUCUGUAGCCUACUGAGGAGUAGAAUCUAGUCUCUACACAUUCACACAUUCUCACAUCCUUCUUCUUGCCUCUGUGUUUUAAGAUUUUCUUAACAAAUUUUUAUAGGAAAGAAGACACAGCCCAAAGAGGCUCAAAGUCUUCUGAGAUCUUGCUGUGGAGAUUCCUGGUGUAUAAUUUCUGAUGGCCUCCAAGAAGCCUCCAGGUGCAAUCCAAGCUGGAGAUUUUGGCAACUGGAAUUCCUCCAGACCAUCAGGAUCUAUGUCCUUUUCCAGAAAGAUAUUUCUGUGGCCCCUCCUCCAAAAAAACAGCUGUCUCACCAUCAUGGUCUUACCUGCAGAAUCAAGUGACCUCUUCCCAUAAGAGACUGCAGAUUUAACUCCUGAAUUCUCCAAAAUGUCCAAAGCAAACACAGAACUGCUAGAUUUAAACUAUCUUUCUUGUCUUUUGCCAAGUUAAAUUAUUUGGCCCUGUGGCCAAACUCAGAGAGCAGACCUGUAUUUCAGUUUUUCCCCCUAUAAAAUUAUUGUUUGACUAAUAUUCCUCCUGUUAAGUUAAAUAAAUUAUGACAGUUUUGUAAAGAAUUUAGAUGUCAUUAUUUUCCAUCUUUGUGGAAUGAAAGCUCCGUGUGUACUGAAUCUUUUUACAAAUCUCUUAACUUCCUUAAACGUUGUGCUUGUUUGCGGUUCUCCCA
rnacentral:lncRNA from 1 species